rnacentral:rRNA from 1 species
UGAGUGCAGAAGAGAAGAGCGGAAUUCCACGUGUAGCGGUGAAAUGCGUAGAGAUGUGGAGGAACACCAGUGGCGAAGGCGGCUCUUUGGUCUGUAACUGACGCUGAGGCGCGAAAGCGUGGGGAGCGAACAGGAUUAGAUACCCUGGUAGUCCACGCCGUAAACGAUGAGUGCUAAGUGUUGGGGGGUUUCCGCCCCUCAGUGCUGCAGCUAACGCAUUAAGCACUCCGCCUGGGGAGUACGGCCGCAAGGCUGAAACUCAAAGGAAUUGACGGGGGCCCGCACAAGCGGUGGAGCARGUGGUUUAAUUCGAAGCAACGCGAAGAACCUUACCAGGUCUUGACAUCCCGCUGACCGUCCUGGAGACAGGAUUUUCCCUUCGGGGACAGCGGUGACAGGUGGUGCAUGGUUGUCGUCAGCUCGUGUCGUGAGAUGUUGGGUUAAGUCCCGCAACGAGCGCAACCCUUGAUCUUAGUUGCCAGCAUUCAGUUGGGCACUCUAAGGUGACUGCCGGUGACAAACCGGAGGAAGGUGGGGAUGACGUCAAAUCAUCAUGCCCCUUAUGACCUGGGCUACACACGUGCUACAAUGGAUGGUACAAAGGGCUGCAAGACCGCGAGGUUUAGCCAAUCCCAUAAAACCAUUCUC